rnacentral:rRNA from 1 species
GGUUAACGCUGGCGGCGUGCCUAACACAUGCAAGUCGAACGGUUCUAAGCGCGAGCUUAGGAUAGUGGCGAACGGGUGAGUAAAAGGUAGGAAUCUACCCCUUGGACGGAGAUAGCUACUGGAAACGGUAGGUAAACUUCGAUAAGCCCGAGAGGGGAAAGUGGUGAGACAGCCGAGGGAUGAGCCUACUCUCCAUCAGGUAGUUGGUGAGAUAAAAGCUUACCAAGCCGAUGACGGAUAACCGGUGUGAGAGCAUGAACGGUCACAAGGGCACUGAGAGACGGGCCCUACUCCUACGGGAGGCAGCAGUGGGGAAUCUUGGACAAUGGGCGAAAGCCUGACCCAGCCAUGCCGCGUGAGUGAUGAAGGUCCUAGAGAUUGUAAAACUCUUUUCUGAGGAAAGAAUGAAUAGGGAAGGAAAAUGUCCUUAUUUUGACGGUACCUCAGGAAUAAAGGAAACGGCUAAACUCCGUG